AGUAAAAGUCGUAACAAGGUCUCCGUUGGUGAACCAGCGGAGGGAUCAUUACAGAGUUAUCCAACUCCCAAACCCAUGUGAACUUAUCUCUUUGUUGCCUCGGCGCAAGCUACCCGGGACCCAGCGCCCCGGGCGGCCCGCCGGCGGACAAACCAAAACUCUUGUUAUCUUAGUUGAUUAUCUGAGCGUCUUAUUUAAUAAGUCAAAACUUUCAACAACGGAUCUCUUGGUUCUGGCAUCGAUGAAGAACGCAGCGAAAUGCGAUAAGUAAUGUGAAUUGCAGAAUUCAGUGAAUCAUCGAAUCUUUGAACGCACAUUGCGCCCAUUAGUAUUCUAGUGGGCAUGCCUGUUCGAGCGUCAUUUCAACCCCUAAGCACAGCUUACUGUUGGGACUCCACGGCCCCCGUAGUUCCCCAAAGCCAUUGGCGGAGUGGCAGUAGUCCUCUGAGCGUAGUAAUUCUUUAUCUCGCUUUUGUUAGGCGCUGCCCCCCCGGCCGUUAAACCCCCCAAUUUUUUCUGGUUGACCUCGGAUCAGGUAGGAAUACCCGCUGAACUUAAGCAUAUCAAUAAGCGGAGGAAAAGAAACCAACAGGGAUUGCCUCAGUAACG
rnacentral:rRNA from 1 species